rnacentral:rRNA from 1 species
GAUGAACGCUAGCGGCAGGCUUAACACAUGAAAGUCGAGGGGUAACGGGGUGCUUGCACCGCCGACGACCGGCGCACGGGUGAGUAACGCGUAUACAAUCUGCCUUGUACUGAGGGAUAGCCCAGAGAAAUUUGGAUUAAUACCUCAUAGUAUAUGACUCUCUCAUGAGGAUCAUAUUAAAGGUUACGGUACAAGAUGAGUAUGCGUUCUAUUAGCUAGAUGGUAAGGUAACGGCUUACCAUGGCUACGAUAGAUAGGGGCCCUGAGAGGGGGAUCCCCCACACUGGUACUGAGACACGGACCAGACUCCUACGGGAGGCAGCAGUGAGGAAUAUUGGACAAUGGGCGAGAGCCUGAUCCAGCCAUGCCGCGUGCAGGAUGACGGCCCUAUGGGUUGUAAACUGCUUUUAUACAGGAAGAAACACCCCGACGUGUCGGGACUUGACGGUACUGUAAGAAUAAGGAUCGGCUAACUCCGUGCCAGCAGCCGCGGUAAUACGGAGGAUCCAAGCGUUAUCCGGAAUCAUUGGGUUUAAAGGGUCCGUAGGUGGACAAUUAAGUCAGAGGUGAAAUCCUGCAGCUCAACUGUAGAAUUGCCUUUGAUACUGGUUGUCUUGAGUUAUUAUGAAGUAGUUAGAAUAUGUAGUGUAGCGGUGAAAUGCAUAGAUAUUACAUAGAAUACCAAUUGCGAAGGCAGAUUACUAAUAAUGAACUGACACUGAUGGACGAAAGCGUGGGGAGCGAACAGG